UCACUCUCAACAACGGAUUUCUCUGCUUUCUCAUCGAUGAAGAACGUUUUGAAAUGCGAUAAGUGAUGUGAAUUGCAUAAUCCCGCGAACCAUCGAAUCUUUGAACGCAAAUUGCGCUCCCUUGCAACCCGGGGAGUAUGCCUGUUUGAGGGUCAGU
rnacentral:rRNA from 1 species